rnacentral:tRNA from 1 species
GGCGAUGCUCGGCGGACACUUUGAAACGGUUUCCUAAACCGCGUGUCGGACGUUCGAUUCGUCUCGGGGCCACCA